rnacentral:misc_RNA from 1 species
ACGAGUUAGGGUCUUCUAGGCCCGACCUCCCAACCCUACGUUUAUUGAACCUCUGUUGCUUCGGCGGACCCGCCUCACGGCCGCCGGAGGACCGCUGCAAGGCGUCCUCUGGCCAGCGUCCGCCGAUGGCCAACCACUUAAACUCUGAAUGAAUCGUGUCAUGUGUCUAAGUCUAUGAUUAAAUUAAAGCA